rnacentral:rRNA from 1 species
CAGCAGCCGCGGUAAUACGAAGGGUGCAAGCGUUACUCGGAAUUACUGGGCGUAAAGCGUGCGUAGGUGGUGGUUUAAGUCCGUUGUGAAAGCCCUGGGCUCAACCUGGGAAUUGCAGUGGAUACUGGGUCACUAGAGUGUGGUAGAGGAUGGUGGAAUUCCCGGUGUAGCGGUGAAAUGCGUAGAGAUCGGGAGGAACAUCAGUGGCGAAGGCGGCCAUCUGGGACAACACUGACGCUGAGGCACGAAAGCGUGGGGAGCAAACAGGAUUAGAUACCCCCGUAGUCCCUGUCUCUUAUAC